rnacentral:rRNA from 1 species
GAUGAACGCUGGCGGCGUGCCUAAUACAUGCAAGUCGAGCGAACAGACGAGGAGCUUGCUCCUCUGACGUUAGCGGCGGACGGGGGAGUAACACGUGGAUAACCUACCUAUAAGACUGGGAUAACUUCGGGAAACCGGAGCUAAUACCGGAUAAUAUAUUGAACCGCAUGGUUCAAUAGUGAAAGACGGUUUUGCUGUCACUUAUAAAUGGAUCCGCGCCGCAUUAGCUAGUUGGUAAGGUAACGGCUUACCAAGGCAACGAUGCGUAGCCGACCUGAGAGGGUGAUCGGCCACACUGGAACUGAGACACGGUCCAGACUCCUACGGGAGGCAGCAGUAGGGAAUCUUCCGCAAUGGGCGAAAGCCUGACGGAGCAACGCCGCGUGAGUGAUGAAGGUCUUCGGAUCGUAAAACUCUGUUAUUAGGGAAGAACAAAUGUGUAAGUAACUAUGCACGUCUUGACGGUACCUAAUCAGAAAGCCACGGCUAACUACGUG